rnacentral:rRNA from 1 species
GAUGAACGCUAGCGGCAGGCUUAACACAUGCAAGUCGAGGGGUAUAGUUCUUCGGAACUAGAGACCGGCGCACGGGUGCGUAACGCGUAUGCAAUCUACCUUUUGCAGAGGGAUAGCCCAGAGAAAUUUGGAUUAAUACCUCAUAGUAUGUGAGAAUGGCAUCAUUUUCACAUUAAAGUCACAACGGCAAAAGAUGAGCAUGCGUCCCAUUAGCUUGUUGGUAAGGUAACGGCUUACCAAGGCAACGAUGGGUAGGGGUCCUGAGAGGGAGAUCCCCCACACUGGUACUGAGACACGGACCAGACUCCUACGGGAGGCAGCAGUGAGGAAUAUUGGACAAUGGGCGCAAGCCUGAUCCAGCCAUGCCGCGUGCAGGAUGACGGUCCUAUGGAUUGUAAACUGCUUUUGUACAGGAAGAAACACUGGUUCGUGAACCAGCUUGACGGUACUGUAAGAAUAAGGAUCGGCUAACUCCGUGCCAGCCGCCGCGGUAAAAC